rnacentral:misc_RNA from 1 species
AACUGAUACUACCUGCGGGAACCUGCGGAAGGAUCAUUACACAAUAAACAUAUGAAGGCUGCACCGCCAACAGGCGGCAAGGCUGGAGUAUUUUAUUACCCUUGUCUUUUGCGCACUUGUUGUUUCCUGGGCGGGUUCGCCCGCCUCCAGGACCACAUGAUAAACCUUUUUUAUGCAGUUGCAAUCAGCGUCAGUACAACAAAUGUAAAUCAUUUACAACUUUCAACAAUGGAUCUCUAG